AAAAUGUGAAGUUAACUUUGAUAGUAAAGUAAAGUGAAUUAGAGGGUUUUCAGUUAAAUUAAUAAAAAUAUUUUUAGUUUAGGUUAGGGUUUAAGUAAGAAUAAUAGAAGAAAGAAAAAAUAAUUUGAGUUAUAGAGGUUUAUGUACCGUGAGGGAUGCAUUGAAAUAUAGAGAAUUAUGAAUUUAAGUGAAGUAGAUUUGAUUGAUUGUACCUUGUGUAUCAGGGUUGAUUAAAAAUAUUAAAAGAAUUUUUAUGUUCCCGAUUUAAAGAGAGCUAAUUUAGUUUGUUGGUUAAUGUGGAAUAAUUAUCAGUAAAAUUGAAUUGGAAAUUAAACGUUAUUCGUUCUUUAAGAUAUCUGGUUCUCUAAGAAAUAAAUUUAAUUUAGUUAUUUGACGUUAUGGCUGUUGAAUAAAUCAAUACGGUGAUAUGAGUCAAUUAAUAAUAAUCUGGGGGAUAAGCUCCGGGUUGGGUAUUAAAAUUGAUGGUUUAUUUAAAAUUAUUUAGGCUUGGAAGUAGCCAUAAUUAAAAGGGUGUUUUUACUUAAUUUUAUUUAAUUAAAUUUUUAUGAAAAUUUAAGUUUUGUAUUAGAGUUCAGUAUUUAAUGUAAAAAAUGUUGGUAAUAAUGAUUGAAUUAGUAUAAAGUAAUUUAUGUAUAUAUAUAGAUUGUAUGAGAAAAGGUUGCAAUAAGGAACUAGGCAAACUAGUGUUCGCCUGUUUAACAAAAACAUGUCCUCUUGUGAAUGAGAAUUUGAGGUUUGGCCUGCCCACUGAAGUUUUGAAGGGCCGCGGUAUUUUGACCGUGCAAAGGUAGCAUAAUCAUUAGUCUUUUAAUUGAAGGCUGGAAUGAAGGGUUGGACGAGACACUGACUGUCUCAUUGUGAUUGAUUUAGAAUUUAACUUUUAAGUGAAAAGGCUUAAAUAGAUUUAAAGGACGAGAAGACCCUAUAGAUCUUGACAUUAAUUUUUUUUAUAUUUAUUUGGAUGUGGGGUUUUAUAAAUUUAAUUUAGUGUUUUAUUGGGGUGAUAGGAAGAUAAAAUAAACUCUUUUUAGUUUUUGCAUAUGCCAUUGAUUUUUGAAUUUUUGAUCCGUUAUUAACGAUUAUAAGACUAAGUUACCUUAGGGAUAACAGCGUAAUCUUUUUUGAGAGUUCUUAUCGACAAAAAGGGUUGCGACCUCGAUGUUGGAUUAAGGUAAAAUUCGGGUGCAGGAGCUCGAGUUUUUAGGUCUGUUCGACCUUUAAAUCCUUACAUGAUCUGAGUUCAGACCGGCGUGAGCCAGGUCGGUUUCUAUCCUUAGAUAAAAUAAAUACUUUAGUACGAAAGGACCAAGUAUUUGGAUUAGUUUCUAUGAGGGGAUUAAAAUUAAUAUU
rnacentral:rRNA from 1 species